AACGCUGGCGGCGUGCCUAACACAUGCAAGUCAACGGGGAUUUGUUUCGGCAGAAUCCUAGUGGCGAACGGGUGAGUAACGCGUAAGGCAACCUGCCCUCCGGCCGGGGACAACACUCCGAAAGGGGUGCUAAUACCGGAUACGAAGUCUGUGCCGCAUGGUACGGAUUUGAAAGAUGGCCUCUAUUUAUAAGCUAUCGCCGGGGGAUGGGCCUGCGUCCGAUUAGCUGGUUGGUGGGGUAACGGCCUACCAAGGCGACGAUCGGUAGCCGGUCUGAGAGGAUGAACGGCCACAUUGGGACUGAGACACGGCCCAGACUCCUACGGGAGGCAGCAGUGGGGAAUCUUCCGCAAUGGGCGCAAGCCUGACGGAGCAACGCCGCCGUGAGUGAGGAAGUUCUUCGGAACGUAAAGCUCUGUUGUUCCUGACGAACCUCCCCUCUAUCAACAACGGAAGGGACUGACGGUAGGGAACGAGGAAGCCACGGCUAACUACGUGCCAGCCGCCGC
rnacentral:rRNA from 1 species